AUGCCUCAACUAGAUAAAUUCACUUAUUUCACACAAUUCUUCUGGUCAUGCCUUUUCCUCUUUACUUUCUAUAAUCCUAUAUGCAAUGAUGGAGAUGGAGUACUUGGGAUCAGCAGAAUUCUAAAACUACGGAACCAACUGGUUUCACACUAGGAAAACAAGAUCCGGAGCAACGACCCCAACAGUUUGGAAGAUAUCUUGAGAAAAGGAUUUAGCACCGGUGUAUCCUAUAUGUACUCAAGUUUAUUCGAAGUAUCCCAAUGGUGUAACGCCGUCGACUUCUUAGGAAAAAGGAGGAAGAUGACUUUAAUCUCUUGUUUCGGAGAAAUAAGUGGCUCACGAGGAAUGGAUAGAAACAUAUUCUAUUUGAUCUCUAAGUCCAUACAUAGCAAUCCUGGGUGGGUCAUCACUUGUAAGAAUAACAUAAUUCUAAUCCAUGUUCCACACUGCCAAGGAAGCAUCGGUUUUUAAUCUCAUUAUGACUUAGUCGUUCGGAAGAGCAAUUAAUUCGAUCAGAAUAGUGGAAUCGAAGGCAAUAAAAGAAUGAAAUACUCAUUUCUUUUCCAAUCGCCCCGUGAAGACAGACGCUCGAAAAGGUUCUCGAGAUUCUCAAUCGCUCUUUUUAGUGGGGAGGAAUAGUGCGGGAAGGGGCAAGACCAAGCCGAGCCACUAGUAGAGUAAGUCCUUCCCACGUGUCAAGUUGAAUAUUAAUAAAUGAAUGCAGCCUCAACCAAAGAGAUCAACCUACACCUUUGAGUUGAGGCCGCUGGUGGCACAGAACGAACUAAUUCGCCACUAGUAAGUUUUCUGAAAGCGAAUUGAAUGGAAUUGUUCGUCGGUCAAACCAACGAUUCUCUUCUCAAAUUAAUAGAGAGAGUCUUUUUUCUAGUUAGACUUCUAUCAAUGGAAUGAAAGAACAAUCCCUUCCUAUUUCUUUUUUUGUCCUGUCAGAUAGAAAGAAAAUUAGACCCCAAAGAGCCCUUCUUUACUUUACUACUUUAGGGGGUGGGGGUGAAGGGGGGGUUUACAUAGAACCGAGGCAAAGUGGUUUAUGAUUGAAUCUCAGAGGUAUUCUUAACAUUUGGUAGAUCCAAGUCCAUGGCUUAUUUUGGGUUCACUCGGAGCAUUGGAAACAACCUUAGUAGGUGUGAUGUACAUGCACUCAUUUCAAGGGAGUGCAACACUUCUCAGUUUGGGCGUCAUAUUUCUCCUAUAUACCAUGUUCGUAUGGUGGCGCGAUGUUCUACGUGAAUCCACGUUCGAAGGACAUCAUACCAAAGUCGUACAAUUAGGACCUCGAUAUGGUUUUAUUCUAUUUAUCGUAUCGGAGGUUAUGUUCUAUUUUGC